AUUGAACGCUGGCGGCAGGCCUAACACAUGCAAGUCGGACGGUAGCACAGAGGAGCUUGUUCCUCGGGUGACGAGUGGCGGACGGGUGAGUAAUGUCUGGGGAUCUGCCCGAUAGAGGGGGAUAACCACUGGAAACGGUGGCUACUACCGCAUAACGUCGCAAGACCAAAGAGGGGGACCUUCGGGCCUCUCACUAUCGGAUGAACCCAGAUGGGAUUAGCUAGUAGGCAGGGUAACGGCCCACCUAGGCGACGAUCCCUAGCUGGUCUGAGAGGAUGACCAGCCACACUGGAACUGAGACACGGUCCAGACUCCUACGGGAGGCAGCAGUGGGGAAUAUUGCACAAUGGGCGCAAGCCUGAUGCAGCCAUGCCGCGUGUAUGAAGAAGGCCUUCGGGUUGUAAAGUACUUUCAGCGGGGAGGAAGGCGAUGUGGUUAAUAACCGCGUCGAUUGACGUUACCCGCAGAAGAAGCACCGGCUAACUCCGUGCCAGCCGCCGCUGUAA
rnacentral:rRNA from 1 species